AUUCGAGUAUUGAGCAAAAGGUUUUUACCUACGGUUCCCGUAUUACAGAUCAAUCCUACUAGACUAAUACAAUAUACGAAUAGGAGGCACAGGGGAAGAAGCACUACGCCGAGAAAUCAACAACACGAAAACUUUCUUCAAAACGAUUCCUUUUCUUUCUUCUUCUUUGGGAUUGGGACUAAUUAAAAUGGUUGGAACAAUAAACAUCCAUCUCGUCCGUACUUUGGAUACCCGUAUAACCAUUGAAGACUGUUGAAGUGACUAAUUCCUGGAAAUUUAGGGGCGUUGAGAACAAAGAAAUUUUUAGAGUUUCCUUUUUUAUUUUUAUCUAGUAUGAAUCCACUUGGUAGUAAGAAAAGAUCUUUUACAAGAAGGUUGGCUAGGGAUUUCUUGUAAAAACAUUAGCCCCGCUUAGUUCAUAAUGACAUCAAAUUUUUCCAUAUCCAUAUAUUUAUUAUUUUCAUUAUGCACCUAAAGGAGGAGCCGUAUGAGAUGAAAAUCUCACAUACGGUUCUGAAACGGAGAAUUCGUUAAAGCGAAUGACGACCGUAACGGAUGUCGGCUCAAUCUGAAGGAAAUUAUGCGGAAGCAUUACAGAAUUAUUAUGAAGCUAUGCGACUAGAAAUUGACCCCUAUGAUCGAAGUUAUAUACUCUAUAAUAUAGGCCUUAUCCACACAAGUAAUGGGGAACAUACCAAAGCUUUAGAAUAUUAUUUUCGGGCAUUAGAACGAAACCCCUUUUUACCACAAGCUUUUAAUAAUAUGGCUGUGAUCUGUCAUUACGUGCGACUAUCUCCACUAUAGAAAAAAAGAACGAACAGCUAGUCAAUGAAAUACUAGAAACAAAAAAAAAAGGCUUUCUACAUAAGCAUCGUCCAAAACGAUUUUUUAUCAGCUGUAGCAAA